CCUACGGGGGGCUGCAGCAAGGAAUUUUCCGCAAUGGGCGCAAGCCUGACGGAGCAACGCCGCGUGGGGGAGGACGCUUUUCGGAGUGUAAACCCCUUUUCUCAGGGAAGAAUUCUGACGGUACCUGAGGAAGAAGGACCGGCUAACUACGUGCCAGCAGCCGCGGUAAUACGUAGGGUCCGAGCGUUGUCCGGAGUUACUGGGCGUAAAGCGCGCGCAGGUGGUCCGUUAAGCCCGGCGUGAAAGCCCCCGGCUCAACCGGGGAGGGUCGUCGG
rnacentral:rRNA from 1 species